UACGAAGGGAGCUAGCGUUACUCGGAAUCACUGGGCGUAAAGCGUAUGUAGGCGGAAAUACAAGUCAGAGGUGAAAGCCCUGGGCUCAACCCAGGAAUUGCCUUUGAAACUGUAUUUCUUGAGUGUGGUAGAGGAUGGUGGAAUUUCCAGUGUAGAGGUGAAAUUCGUAGAUAUUGGAAAGAACACCGGUGGCGAAGGCGGCCAUCUGGGCCACUACUGACGCUGAGAUACGAAAGCGUGGGGAGCAAACGGG
rnacentral:rRNA from 1 species